rnacentral:rRNA from 1 species
GGCAAGGUCGAGCGAAUGGAUUAAGAGCUUGCUCUUAUGAAGUUAGCGGCGGACGGGUGAGUAACACGUGGGUAACCUGCCCAUAAGACUGGGAUAACUCCGGGAAACCGGGGCUAAUACCGGAUAACAUUUUGAACCGCAUGGUUCGAAAUUGAAAGGCGGCUUCGGCUGUCACUUAUGGAUGGACCCGCGUCGCAUUAGCUAGUUGGUGAGGUAACGGCUCACCAAGGCAACGAUGCGUAGCCGACCUGAGAGGGUGAUCGGCCACACUGGGACUGAGACACGGCCCAGACUCCUACGGGAGGCAGCAGUAGGGAAUCUUCCGCAAUGGACGAAAGUCUGACGGAGCAACGCCGCGUGAGUGAUGAAGGCUUUCGGGUCGUAAAACUCUGUUGUUAGGGAAGAACAAGUGCUAGUUGAAUAAGCUGGCACCUUGACGGUACCUAACCAGAAAGCCACGGCUAACUACGUGCCAGCAGCCGCGGUAAUACGUAGGUGGCAAGCGUUAUCCGGAAUUAUUGGGCGUAAAGCGCGCGCAGGUGGUUUCUUAAGUCUGAUGUGAAAGCCCACGGCUCAACCGUGGAGGGUCAUUGGAAACUGGGAGACUUGAGUGCAGAAGAGGAAAGUGGAAUUCCAUGUGUAGCGGUGAAAUGCGUAGAGAUAUGGAGGAACACCAGUGGCGAAGGCGACUUUCUGGUCUGUAACUGACAAUGAGGCGCGAAAGCGUGGGGAGCAGACACGAUUAUAUACCCUGGUAGUCCACGCCGCAAACGAUGAGUGCUGCAUGGUAUAAGGAUUUCUCCCCUUAGUGCUGGAAGUUAACUCAUUAACAACUCCCCCCCGCGGGGUAAGGCCGCUGGCUGGAACUCCAAGAAAUGAACUGACGGCCGCCCAAACGCAGCAGCAUAUGAUGUUAUUUUUAUUCCACGCCCACGAAAA